UUCGCAGUCACCUUCCCUUAUUCCGUAGUCCGUAAGACCGUACUGUAUUGUGAUCGUUCAGACAAUUUCUGCAAGCCUGUUUUUGUGUAUAACUUUUUUACAAUUUAAACGGAAAAAACGAUGGCUAAUCCAAAAGAGACGUUUGUGUCCCGAAACCUAGUGUACCUCGUCAUGAUCCCAACAAUAAUUUUAGUCCAUUACAGUUGGCUUAAACUGCAAAAUAAGACACAAUCGAUGGAUCGAGAUAAGUAUAAGAUUCACCCAGCAAGCAAGCUGUUCAGCAGAUUUAUUAAUAAGACGGAGGACGAAGAUAAAAAAUAGACCACAUUCUAGGUGUGUUGUUUAAGUUGUUAAAUAUUUUUAAUAAACAUGUUUUUUCGUUAUUGUAAAA